AAGUCGAGCGGCAGCGCGGGGCAACCUGGCGGCGAGCGGCGAACGGGUGAGUAAUGCAUCGGAACAUGUCCUGUCGUGGGGGAUAGCCCGGCGAAAGCCGGAUUAAUACCGCAUACGUCCGAGAGGAGAAAGUGGGGGACCGCAAGGCCUCACGCGAUUGGGUUGGCCGAUGUCCGAUUAGCUAGUUGGCGGGGUAAGAGCCCACCAAGGCGAUGAUCGGUAGCUGGUCUGAGAGGAUGAUCAGCCACACUGGGACUGAGACACGGCCCAGACUCCUACGGGAGGCAGCAGUGGGGAAUUUUGGACAAUGGGGGCAACCCUGAUCCAGCCAUUCCGCGUGAGUGAAGAAGGCCUUCGGGUUGUAAAGCUCUUCUGUCCGGAACGAAACGGUGGACGUGAAUAUCGUCCGCUACUGACGGUACCGGAAGAAUAAGCACCGGCUAACUACGUGCCAGCAGCCGCGGUAAUACGUAGGGUGCGAGCGUUAAUCGGAAUUACUGGGCGUAAAGCGUGCGCAGGCGGUUUUGUAAGCCAGAUGUGAAAUCCCCGGGCUCAACCUGGGAAUGGCAUUUGGGACUGCAAGGCUUGAGUGCGGCAGAGGAGACUGGAAUUCCUGGUGUAGCAGUGAAAUGCGUAGAUAUCAGGAGGAAUACCGAUGGCGAAGGCAGGUCUCUGGGCUGACACUGACGCUCAUGCACGAAAGCGUGGGGAGCAAACAGGAUUAGAUACCCUGGUAGUCCACGCCCUAAACGAUGUCGACUGGUUGUU
rnacentral:rRNA from 1 species